rnacentral:rRNA from 1 species
AGCAGCCGCGGUAAUUCCAGCUCCAAUAGCGUAUAUUAAAGUUGUUGCAGUUAAAAAGCUCGUAGUUGAAUUUCGAGACCGGUCUACUGGUCGUGCUUUUGUACGUACUGGUAUAAUCGGUUUCUCUCUUCUGACGAACUAUAAUGCCAUUAAUUUGGUGUUUUAGGGAAUCAGGACUGUUACUUUGAAAAAAUUAGAGUGUUUAAAGCAGGCUCACGCUUGAAUACAUUAGCAUGGAAUAACGAAAGUAGGACGUUUGAUUCUAUUUUGUUGGUUUCUAGGAUCGACGUAAUGACUAAUAGGGAUAGUUGGGGGCAUUAGUAUUCAAUUGUCAGAGGUGAAAUUCUUGGAUUUAUUGAAGACUAACUACUGCGAAAGCAUUUGCCAAGGAUGUUUUCAUUAAUCAAGAACGAAAGUUAGGGGAUCGAAGACGAUCAGAUACCGUCGUAGUCUUAACCAUAAACUAUGCCGACUAGGGAUCGGAUGAUGUUAAAUUAAUGACUCAUUCGGCACCUUACGG